AUGUUUGUUCUUUAUCUUGUAGUCCUGGCUCUUUUGGCCUCCUCAACUGCUCGUUCAGGCCUUCCUCAAGACAUCCAGAGCCAGUGGCUUAUCACUGACGAGAAUCCACAGUAUGAAGACAUUGAUGGACGAUAUCUAACAGAAAAGGAGCGCGUGUGGCUCGACGGCCCAACAGAAGUCAUUGAGGUGGUGACUGUGGAUGACCAGAACAUGCCGACUUCUCCAGUGCCAUAUGACAUGAAGGAACAAGGGCCGGGUGAAGGAGCGCAUCCAGCAGUGUGGAAAAUUGUCCUGGUAGUUGUCGUCCUGCUGGUGUCUAUAGUGGGAUCUCUGAGCGUGGCCUAUUACAUGUGUGUCUGGAGAGGAGGCAGGAUUCACUAUCAACCUCAGAAAGGGAAUAAUGUUUAA
rnacentral:lncRNA from 1 species